CAAGUCCUACAAUGAUGUAUGCACAUUCAUAGGACCAAUUUAGACAUGCUGUUUACCAGGCUCCAUUUGGUCAACCUUUGAGCUUUGAUUAUUCACAGAACUAUUAGAUGAUAUGUAGGGAGGAAGGUUUGUAUUUGGAUUCGGAAGUUAUGUUGUAAGCCUUAUAGGAGAUCUCAUAUUAAGUUCAUUUUUCAGUACUCCUUUAUAUAGACCCUUGUUUGUUUUCUAUUAUUGUAGUAUGUAUGACUUUGAUUUUCAGUUUUGAUGGUUACAGUACUUCUUAUGUUACAGUUUAUAAAAUAGUGAACUCUAGUGGAUUUAUGCAUUUGUUAUAA